UACGGAGGGUGCAAGCGUUAAUCGGAAUUACUGGGCGUAAAGCGUGCGCAGGCGGUUUUGUAAGCCAGAUGUGAAAGCCCCGGGCUCAACCUGGGAAUGGCAUUUGGGACUGCAAGGCUGGAGUUUGGCAGAGGAGACUGGAAUUCCCGGUGUAGCAGUGAAAUGCGUAGAUAUCGGGAGGAAUACCGAUGGCGAAGGCAGGUCUCUGGGCUAUAACUGACGCUCAUGCACGAAAGCGUGGGGAGCAAACAGG
rnacentral:rRNA from 1 species